rnacentral:rRNA from 1 species
GAUGAACGCUAGCGGCAGGCCUAUCACAUGCAAGUCGAGGGGCAGCACAGAAACAGCAAUGUUUUGGUGGCGACCGGCGGACGGGUGCGUAACGCGUAUGCAACCUACCUUUAACAGGGGGAUAACGGAGAGAAAUUUCCACUAAUACCCCAUAACAUCGAUCAAGGCAUCUUGAUUGGUUGAAACCUCCGGUGGUUAAAGAUGGGCAUGCGUUGUAUUAGGUAGUUGGUGAGGUAAUGGCUCACCAAGCCUACGAUACAUAGGGGGACUGAGAGGUUAGCCCCCCACACUGGUACUGAGACACGGACCAGACUCCUACGGGAGGCAGCAGUGAGGAAUAUUGGUCAAUGGGGGCAACCCUGAACCAGCCAUGCCGCGUGCAGGAAGACGGCUCUAUGAGUUGUAAACUGCUUUUAAACAGGGAUAAAGCACAGUAUGUAUACUGUGUUGAAGGUACUGUAAGAAUAAGGAUCGGCUACCUCCGUGCCAGCCGCCGCCGUAA